rnacentral:rRNA from 1 species
AUUGAACGCUGGCGGCAGGCCUAACACAUGCAAGUCGAGCGGAUGAAGGGAGCUUGCUCCUGGAUUCAGCGGCGGACGGGUGAGUAAUGCCUAGGAAUCUGCCUGGUAGUGGGGGAUAACGUCCGGAAACGGGCGCUAAUACCGCAUACGUCCUGAGGGAGAAAGUGGGGGAUCUUCGGACCUCACGCUAUCAGAUGAGCCUAGGUCGGAUUAGCUAGUUGGUGGGUUAAAGGCCUACCAAGGCGACGAUCCGUAACUGGUCUGAGAGGAUGAUCAGUCACACUGGAACUGAGACACGGUCCAGACUCCUACGGGAGGCAGCAGUGGGGAUUAUUGGACAAUGGGCGAAAGCCUGAUCCAGCCAUGCCGCGUGUGUGAAGAAGGUCUUCGGAUUGUAAAGCACUUUAAGUUGGGAGGAAGGGCAGUAAGUUAAUACCUUGCUGUUUUGACGUUACCAACAGAAUAAGCACCGGCUAACUUCGUG